rnacentral:rRNA from 1 species
CUUAGUACGAGAGGACCGGAAUGAACAUACCUCUGGUGUUUCUGUUGUUCCGCCAGGAGCAUUGCAGAGUAGCCAAGUAUGGAUGAGAUAAACACUGAAAGCAUAUAAGUGUGAAACUCGCCUCAAGAUAAGGUUUCCCUGAAGGGCACUUGUAGACUACGAGUUUGAUAGGUUGGAAGUGGAAGUACAGUAAUGUAUGAAGCUAACCAAUACUAAUUGCCCGUUCGGCUUGGUCAC